AAAACUUGGUAAAUAAUAAUAUUUAAUCAAAACGACAUACAGUUAUCAUCGGUUAUUUUAAAAGUGCACCUCUUUGCUUGGCCUCUUCAGUGCCCUCAACCCUCUAUGCGUUCAUAAGGCCUCUCCACGAUCUCCAUGAGUUUCCCUUUGGGUAACUUUUCUCUCCACCUUUCACAGGAACAGAUUUAGCUCUCAACCUGUUCAUCUCUCCCUUCGCAUUUUAUCUCCGUGGGUCUUUCUCUUGGGCAUGAUGGUGUCAGCUGGGGGCUCAUUCUGGGGAAUCCUGUAGGUUUGACAGCACUGAGAGCAGCUAGAGCUUCAUUUCUUCUCCCAGCAUCCAUUUAUUGACCCCUUAAGGAAUCUCUCUGAAAUUUUGACCUGGUGGGAAAUCCUUGAACUGACAGGGCUUCUAAAGGACAGCCUGUUUCUGCCCUCAUCAUCAACACAUCUGCCCUCAAACUGUUUUUGGCAGGUGAACAAGGGAUCUUAUAAUUCCACAAUCUCAACGUAUUUCUUUUCCACAAUCUCUGCACUCACGUAUUGGUACUGUGUUCUGGUUAGAAAUGCUCACCACCCUCAUCAACUACGCACUGAACCUUGGUAGUCUUGAAUGGAGUUCUGAGUGUGCUCAGUGGGACAAAUAUAUCAUUCAUUCGUUUCCAGGGUAGACAUUUGCUGAGUGGCUACUGUGUGUUGGUCACUGUUAGCUGUAGGAGAUACAAAGCAAAAGAAAAAAUUCUGACUCUGGAAAAACUCAUGGGUUUGUUUGUUUUUUUCCUUUGGCAAUGUUGAAAGGACUCAAAAUAUUAUUUACUUUGCAGCUCAGGGGUCCAUUUUGGACCUUUCCUUGUGGAUAGAGGGCCUUUCAUUCUUCUGAGGCCAGAGGACAUGGAGGCAGCUGCUUAGGUUAGGGUGCUGACGAUGACCUGGGAAACUGAGACUCAGAGAAGGCAAGUGCAACCUCGGGGCCACCUGGUGGUCUGGUGAUGGUGCUGGGACGGGCACGAGGCAUUGCAGGGGGAAAAUACGUGGAGAUGCUGCAUUUCUGAAGUACAAGAUCGGCUGAAUUGCUGUCAAGCCAGAACAUCUCAGAGCAGGUAGGGAGGGGUUCCAAGUCCGCAGAUGAUCCAGAAAAGAGAAAGCUCGCUCAUUUCCUUCCUCCUUUUACCUGCCAUGCUUCCUUACCCCAGGACCUGGAAGGAAUUCAGACUCUCCCCAUCCUGGGGCCUGAGGAGAGGACUGAGGACUUAAUACACGUAAUGUGCUUGGAACCACGCCUGGCACAGAGUGCUGUAUACGUCUGUCUGUCUGUUGUUAUGUUAUUAUUAUAGUUCUCAGAUGACCAAACAGAUGGACCUGGACUUUUCAUUUGAGUAGCCUCUCAUCGGCAGUGGGAGUGCUGGUCUGAAUUUUGUGCCGAUGGCACGUCUCUCCUCCAGCCCUUGCCAAUGUCACGUGACUGGAUCCCUCCACUGCCGAUUUUAGACCUCACUUUCUAAACCACGGGUCCCCAAGCCCCAGACCACAGACCGGUGCUGGUCGGUGGCCUGAUAGAAAUAGGGCCGCACAGCAGGAGACUCAUAUCAAAACCCUAUCAGUGAGUGGCAAGUACAAACGAGCUCAGGGAUCCCGCUGAUUCCUGCAUUAUGUUUGCUUUCUCAUCCCAGGUGACCUGGUUCAUAUGAAGAUGGGAGCAUAGCCCUUCUGCAGAGCCCUCUGAAUACGUCACAAGCUCAAACGGGCGUUAAGGUUAUCCUGGUCCAUCCGCGAUCUCUGAGAAGAAGUAAACAGGGGCCUGGCUCGUAAUAACACGCAGCUGGGAGUGGUGUGUUCCCAGCGUUCUUUGGGGGAAAGCCUGCCCUGUCAGAAGAAUAAAGCGCAGCCCACAGCUAGCAGGGCUGGUGAGGAAUCAUGAUGCUUUUAUAGGAAGGAAAGGGCUGUGAUUCACACGUGUCAGAGUUGAUGGGAAAAUUAAGGGCUCCCUUCCCCAAGGAGGGGCAAUAGAACUCUCUCUUUAAAUAUUACAUUUCUUUAAAUAAAAAGAAAAGUCACUUCA